rnacentral:rRNA from 1 species
GAAACAGGUUAAUAUUCCUGUACUUGGUGUUACUGCGAAGGGGGGACGGAGAAGGCUAUGUUAGCCGGGCGACGGUUGUCCCGGUUUAAGCAUGUAGGCGGAGAUUCCAGGUAAAUCCGGAGUCUUGCUAACGCUGAGGUGUGAUGACGAGGCACUACGGUGCUGAAGUAACAAAUGCCCUGCUUCCAGGAAAAGCCUCUAAGCAUCAGGUAACACGAAAUCGUACCCCAAACCGACACAGGUGGUCAGGUAGAGAAUACCAAGGCGCUUGAGAGAACUCGGGUGAAGGAACUAGGCAAAAUGGUGCCGUAACUUCGGGAGAAGGCACGCUGAUAUGUAGGUGA